rnacentral:rRNA from 1 species
GACGAACGCUGGCGGCGUGCUUAACACAUGCAAGUCGAGCGGAGCGGCGAACGGGUGAUUAACGCGUGAGUAACUGCCCCCCUCUCUGGGAUAACAGUUGGAAACGGCUGCUAAUACCGGAUAGUGGGGGAUGACUCGCGUCCUAUCCGCUUUUUGGUUGGGUAGUGGCCUACCAAGGCGACGACGGGUAGCCGGCCUGAGCGGGCGACCGGCCACAUUGGGCUGAGAGACGGCGCAAAUGCCUACGGGAUGCAGCAGGGGGGAAUAUUGCGCAAUGGGGGAAACCCUGAUGCAGCGACGCCGCGUGCGUGAUGACGGCCUUCGGGUUGUAAACCGCUUUCAGCCAUGACGCGGUAGUGGCAGAAGAAGCACCGGCUAACUACGUGCCAGCAGCCGCGGUAAUUC